rnacentral:RNase_P_RNA from 1 species
GCAGCAGGCUGUCCCAUCGUGGUGAUUUUCCGGUUUAUUACCGGGAGUCGCCAAGGAAAGUCCGGGCAACACAGAGCNNAUGCUUCCUAACGGGAAGAUAUCCGUGAGGAUAUAGCAGUGUAACAGAAAAUUACUUCCGGUUGAAAUCUGCGAAGGCCAGCCUUCGCAAAGGCUUCGGCUGGUAAAGGUGAAAAGGGGAGGUAAGAGCUCACCGGUUCCUGUGGUGACACGGGAAGCCGUACACAUCAUGGGUUGAAAGAUCAUGUAUACCGGCAUUGAGGGCUGCUCGUCCGACGCCGGGGGGUGGAUCGUAUGAUCACGUCAGCAAUGGCGUGACAAGAUAAAUGAUGGGAAAUGGAAUUAUAUUCUCGUGAAGAAACAAAUCCGUACGGAACCCGGCUUACAGGCCGGCUGCAAAA